AAAUUGAAGAGUUUGAUCAUGGCUCAGAUUGAACGCUGGCGGCAGCCUAACACAUGCAAGUCGAACGGUAACAGGAAGCAGCUUGCUGCUUUGCUGACGAGUGGCGGACGGGUGAGUAAUGUCUGGGAAACUGCCAUGGAGGGGGAUAACUACUGGAAACGGUAGCUAAUACCGCAUAACGCGCAAGACCAAAGAGGGGGACCUUCGGGCCUCUUGCCAUCGGAUGUGCCCAGAUGGGAUUAGCUAGUAGGUGGGGUAAAGGCUCACCUAGGCGACGAUCCCUAGCUGGUCUGAGAGGAUGACCAGCCACACUGGAACUGAGACACGGUCCAGACUCCUACGGGAGGCAGCAGUGGGGAAUAUUGCACAAUGGGCGCAAGCCUGAUGCAGCCAUGCCGCGUGUAUGAAGAAGGCCUUCGGGUUGUAAAGUACUUUCAGCGGGGAGGAAGGGAGUAAAGUUAAUACCUUUGCUCAUUGACGUUACCCGCAGAAGAAGCACCGGCUAACUCCGUGCCAGCAGCCGCGGUAAUACGGAGGGUGCAAGCGUUAAUCGGAAUUACUGGGCGUAAAGCGCACGCAGGCGGUUUGUUAAGUCAGAUGUGAAAUCCCCGGGCUCAACCUGGGAACUGCAUCUGAUACUGGCAAGCUUGAGUCUCGUAGAGGGGGGUAGAAUUCCAGGUGUAGCGGUGAAAUGCGUAGAGAUCUGGAGGAAUACCGGUGGCGAAGGCGGCCCCCUGGACGAAGACUGACGCUCAGGUGCGAAAGCGUGGGGAGCAAACAGGAUUAGAUACCCUGGUAGUCCACGCCGUAAACGAUGUCGACUUGGAGGUUGUGCCCUUGAGGCGUGGCUUCCGGAGCUAACGCGUUAAGUCGACCGCCUGGGGAGUACGGCCGCAAGGUUAAAACUCAAAUGAAUUGACGGGGGCCCGCACAAGCGGUGGAGCAUGUGGUUUAAUUCGAUGCAACGCGAAGAACCUUACCUGGUCUUGACAUCCACGGAAGUUUUCAGAGAUGAGAAUGUGCCUUCGGGAACCGUGAGACAGGUGCUGCAUGGCUGUCGUCAGCUCGUGUUGUGAAAUGUUGGGUUAAGUCCCGCAACGAGCGCAACCCUUAUCCUUUGUUGCCAGCGGUCCGGCCGGGAACUCAAAGGAGACUGCCAGUGAUA
rnacentral:rRNA from 1 species